rnacentral:rRNA from 1 species
UACGUAGGGUGCGAGCGUUGUCCAGAAUUAUUGGGCGUAAAGAGCUUGUAGGCGGUUUGUCGCGUCUGCUGUGAAAAUCCGGGGCUCAACCCCGGACUUGCAGUGGGUACGGGCAGACUAGAGUGUGGUAGGGGAGACUGGAAUUCCUGGUGUAGCGGUGAAAUGCGCAGAUAUCAGGAGGAACACCGAUGGCGAAGGCAGGUCUCUGGGCCACUACUGACGCUGAGAAGCGAAAGCAUGGGGAGCGAACAGGAUUAGA